UGGGGAAUUUUGGACAAUGGGCGAAAGCCUGAUCCAGCAAUGCCGCGUGUGUGAAGAAGGCCUUCGGGUUGUAAAGCACUUUUGUCCGGAAAGAAAUCCUUGGCUCUAAUACAGUCGGGGGAUGACGGUACCGGAAGAAUAAGCACCGGCUAACUACGUGCCAGCAGCCGCGGUAAUACGUAGGGUGCAAGCGUUAAUCGGAAUUACUGGGCGUAAAGUGUGCGCAGGCGGUUUGCUAAGACCGAUGUGAAAUCCCCGGGCUCAACCUGGGAACUGCAUUGGUGACUGGCAGGCUAGAGUAUGGCAGAGGGGGUAGAAUUCCACGUGUAGCAGUGAAAUGCGUAGAGAUGUGGAGGAAUACCGAUGGUGAAGGCAGCCCCCUGGGCCAAUACUGACGCUCAUGCACGAAAGCGUGGGGAGCAAACAGGAUUAGAUACCCUGGUAGUCCACGCCCUAAACGAUGUCAACUAGUUGUUGGGGAUUCAUUUCCUUAGUAACGUAGCUAACGCGUGAAGUUGACCGCCUGGGGAGUACGGUCGCAAGAUUAAAACUUAAAUGAAUUGACGGGGUCAUAGCUGUUU
rnacentral:rRNA from 1 species